GCCGUACCUCAGCUUUAGAGUUGGCAAAUAUUCUUGGCGUGAAGUUCCGUGAAGGUUUUAUGAAAAACCGU
rnacentral:tRNA from 1 species